CCAAAACUUUUUUUGUAUAAAGAUCCCUUUAUUUUAAAAAUUCUAUUCAUUGGAAAAGUUACUUUCAAACGUUAGAAAUAUAAUUUCAAUUGGGAUUAAAAUGAAGCAAUGCGCGUGUUACUUUGGCCAAUAUAUAAGAGCUUUAAAAGGAGUCAUUAGCACAUUAGAUUGGUUAAAUUUUUGUAAGAGUGGGAAACAGAACAAGCAUAAGAGAGCUUUUGCUGUAAUUAACUUCCUUGGCUGUUCCAAUAUAAAAGAUUUUAUCAAGAAUUGGUAUGCAAGCACUUCAGAACAGCAUCUGCAAGCCCUGAAAAUUGCAUAAGGAUCGCACCAUAAAAGCAGAAGUUACUCAAGAUUGCAUUCUCUACCAUAUGGUGAGGCUUAAAGAAGCGCAGCAACAAGCGACGGCAACCGACUGACAAAACCGCGCAACCUAAACGCGUUUUGGUCGAAAGGCAAUAUGCGAGAGUGUCAACUAGAAGCAGAGCGAGCGCAAGAGAGCGAAGAAUACCUGUGUGCGUGUGUAUUGGAGUGUGCUGCCUACCUGGGCGCCAGUGCAUGACAUGCAGCAUUGGAGCCCGAAUGUGCUGCAUGACAUGCAGCUGUCAUACAGACUGGCUGCUAAUGCUGCUUGAAAUUUUUAGUGUUGCAAAAUUAAUAAAAAUCUAGAAAGAACUGUUAACCGUAAA